UACGGGGGGGGCAAGCGUUGUUCGGAAUUACUGGGCGUAAAGGGCUUGUAGGUGGCCAACUAAGUCAGACGUGAAAUCCCACGGCUCAACCGUGGAACUGCUUGGUAUACUGCCUGUCUUGAGCCACUUAGGGGGCUGUCGGAACAAGCGGUGGAGCGGUGAAAUGCGUAGAUGAUCAGGAGGAACACCAAUAGCGAAGGCAGCUCGCUUGGGACGUUACUGACACUGAGGCGCGAAAGCGUGGGGGAGCGAACAGG
rnacentral:rRNA from 1 species